AUGACUCUACUUUUAGGGAUCAUUUCUAUAGUUUCUGACUGUGAAAUGUGUUUCAAAAAUGUUUUCCUCCCUAUCCACAGUGAUGAAUAUUGAUGCUCCUAUAUGAGCAGGAGUCAAGCAAAGAAGUAUGGCUUUGUUCAUGGAUCUUUGACACUGAUGAGGGUUCUGUAUUGCUUCUGGCAACAACAAGUAAAGGAGUAAUAUCAGAGUGGU